rnacentral:lncRNA from 1 species
AGGAAACCGCCAGGGAAUCUUGUCGGAAGUGGGAUAAAAACUUCCCUCUUUCUCUACGUGCUUAAAUCCACUGCUUCAUGGCCAAGAAAUGCUUACUAUGGCACGCCGCCGCAUGACAGCACACCUAAGAGAUGAAGUAACUGAAUUGCUGGAGUAGAACAACUUGAUUGAAAGCUCUAACCCUGCCGCCAGAAGGUGGAACUACUGUGCCUUUGCAGAAACUCUACAUGAAGCUUAUCCACGAAUGGUAUGGAAAGAAAAGGAACUUCAGCAGCUUGGAUGGAUUGGGUUCAUGCGUUCAGUCAGCAGCUCAAGAAAAACCCGGAAAUUGCGAAUUAAACCACGUUUUGCACUGAACUCUAACACUUCUGAACUAACAACUGAUAUCUCGUGCGCUGAAGCACAGCGUGAGCUAAGGGCGAUUUCAGAAACUGUCACAGACCCAGAUCGAAUUGAUCUUUCAAGAAUGAACAUGUUGCUGCGUGCAAUCAUUCAAAUACGGCAGCAAAAUCCAG